CCCUUAGAUGUUCUGGGCCGCACGCGCGCUACACUGAUGAAUGCAACGAGCUCUACCCUUGACCGAAAGGCCCGGGUAAACUUGUGAAACUUCAUCGUGAUGGGGAUAGAUUAUUGCAAUUAUUAAUCUUCAACGAGGAAUUCCUAGUAAGCGCAAGUCAUCAGCUUGCGUUGAUUACGUCCCUGCCCUUUGUACACACCGCCCGUCGCUCCUACCGAUUGAAUGGUCCGGUGAAGCGUUCGGACCGUGGCCUUUGGACGGUUCGCCGUCUGUUGGCUGCGGGAAGUUCGUUAAACCUUAUCAUUUAGAGGAAGGAGAAGUCGUAACA
rnacentral:rRNA from 1 species